UACAAUCUUGCAUAUGGUUUUUUCUUUGGCAAAAGUGAUUAUACUAAUUACUAACAUUUUGAGGGUGUGUCAUAGCAAACACUUGAGGCAAAUGCUUUCUUUUACCUCUUGAGAGAUGCUGCAACACCCUGCACAGGUGGUACUGUAUUAAUGAGUUACUGAGACUCUAAUUUAACCAAUUUUGGCUGUUUUCCUCUUCUGUGGGUUAUUUUCUUCCUAUUUACCUGAAUGAUUGUGUUUGCCGAUUCUGCAGCAAAUGGAACCUUUAUCUCUUUAAUGUUUCUCUCAAACAAACAAGAAGAAAGAAUAAAUAUAAACUCCACGAAGUUGGUUUCACUUCAGGGGGCUGUGAUUUUGUUUUCUAUCUUCCUCCUGCAAAUAAAACCUAAGAGAAACAGAAUACUUUUCAAGAACUUGUAUCAGUUUUUCUAAGAUUGUAAUUAUGACAGCCUUCAGUUUUUAACCUUUCCUUGCUUAUCUAACCCCAAAGACCUUCUAGGAUUGCUAAGACAGUAAAUUUAACACAUCUGGAAACCGCUGUGACUCAGCAUUUCAUUAUUGCUAAUUUGUUAAAUUGCUCUAACAUUAUACACAAGGCACGCCUUCCCCUCCCCUACUCUGUGCCAGCCCUAGGCUCCACCCUCCAGCCUGAAGGCCCAGGUGCGGCCUUGACACCUGGGCCAGCGUGGCUAGGAGGGGCUGCCUGAAGUCCCCCCUGCCCUCCUGCCUUGUAGCGACCCUUCUCCGGCUUCCAACCCUAAGCAAGCGCUACCACACAGCAACGUCCCCGCAAGCGCCCACGUUGCUCCUUAGGCCGUGGUGGAAGAAGGCACCUUCCCUUUUUGCAGGUGAAAACACUGGGACCAGAGAGGUCUAACGACCAACCAAGGUCACAGUUGAUGGUGGAUGGCCCCAUGGCCAGCUUCUAGUCCUGCCACCGGCUUGAAGGCCCAGGUUCCUUUCCGCAGAAAUGGAGUCGUGACUCAACACCAGGGGACCGGGAGCAGCCGAGGCAGCAGGGUAAGAAGAAGACAACCUGGCUCCAUCACAAUUCAAUAUGGCUCCACUAGAAUGGUCCUGAAGCAAUUAGAUGUAAACCAUUUAGUAGGCAGAGGAGUGGAAAUCCCUGGAUAAUUGCAGAAGCUGUUGUUUUUAGAGAUCAGUCCUACAUCGUGAAGUCCACUCUCACUCCAGCUUGUCAGAAAGAGGGCAGCAGUGAUGUGAAUCUGUUUAUGACAGUCAUUCCUGGUCAUCUCUCAGAGGCACUCUUACCUACAUUUUAACAAGAUCAGAAGGAUGGAACACAGGUCGAGUAAGAGUCCAUGCUUCACUUUUAUUUUGUAAGACUUGCAUAUUGAAUGAAACACGCCUGGAGGAAGACUUUCAUUGGAUUUGUAUAAAUUUUGCUCCCUAAAGAGCAAAUGAACGUGUUAGGUGCUGAAGAUGGGUAGGUAGUUGAGUAAAAUUUUAUAAUGGGAAGGGAGGUUUUAACUAGCUCAACCUCCUCAUUUGGCCCAUGAGGAAACUCAGAGUUUAACUGAGAAAGUGGGUCACCUAAGGCCUCACUGCUGGUGGUCUACACGUUAGGGAGACCCAGCCGCAGGGUCUCAUCUAUGCAAAAGCACUCUGAGAUUAAAACACACCAUUCAGUACACAACAGGGUGGGGAAAUAGGACUGAGAGCAGACUAGCCAGCUCCCUUCUUAUGAAGAAAAAUAUUGCAAAUAUUCUAGUAGAGCAU
rnacentral:lncRNA from 1 species